rnacentral:rRNA from 1 species
UACGUAGGGUGCAAGCGUUAAUCGGAAUUACUGGGCGUAAAGCGUGCGCAGGCGGUGAUGUAAGACAGAUGUGAAAUCCCCGGGCUUAACCCUGGGAACUGCAUUUGUGACUGCAUCGCUGGAGUGCGGCAGAGGGGGAUGGAAUUCCGCGUGUAGCAGUGAAAUGCGUAGAUAAUGCGGAGGAACACCGAUGGCGAAGGCAAUCCCUGGCCGCACUGGAC